CUCAGUGCUCAUGCUUGCUGUGCGCAGUUUUAAGCGUUCCUCCAUCCACAGCUAGGACUCCGAUGGGUGCAUCUGCGAUCAGUCCUUGGUGCUGCGGAGAGAGUGAAGGUCCCACCAGCAGUGACAUGACAUGAUUUGUGGCUCUGCACCUCGUUGCCCUCAUCGAAGAUAGUCAGGAGACCCUAGAAAGAUGCCAUUCACACCCUGGAGUGCUGUGGGCCAUGCAAGAGCAGCUGGACACAGGAGCAGCUUCCUGCCUAGACCCGGGCCGCUUCCCCAGAAAGAGGAACCAGCAGUGGUGGCUGGAGCGUCUGGCGGCGAUAAAAGGUUCUGCCUUCAGGGUUUUUUUGGCCUUAUUUUCUGUUUAAAGAAGGCAUAUUUUCUUCCUUUUAUUUUAUACAUAGGCAGCCUUACAGCAGGAGGCAAACGAGUAGACAGCAGACAAAUCUAUAUGAUGUAAUUCUGAUUGGAAAGAGCAGGGCAUAGCUCUUUUCCAAGGAGACUUGCUGCCACCGAUCAGCCGUGAGAGCGUGGACAAGCCAUUUCAUCUCUCUGGACCUCGGCCUCCUUAUUUGCUCAGAAAUGUCCACUAGGUGGCGGAAGCGACUCACUUGCCUCCCUGCAGAGCGCCUGCUUUUUGAGAGACUACAAAAUUAGCCCCACGUGAUAGUCCAGCUCUAUAAAAACAGAGUCCUCCUUGUGAAAAAACAAUGCAAAACUUCAUUAUAUAAAACAGUGGAAAAUUUACCAACGAUAUGUAUAAAGGGUGGAAAACCCAUUCAGAAUAAUAUACAGACACAUCUAAUGACUUCUAAUCAGGCACUAUUCUAACCUGACUUUUCCUUAAGAACUCCUAUUUCAAGGGGUUCUAGCAGGCUCUCUUUCAGAGUUCUGUCUGUCUGUCUCAGCUUCUGUCCUAUGAUUUUGUGGAGUUUAUUUCUGCCUUUUCCUGAGGUUUGAAAAAAACUGUGCAGUCUCUUUCUUCCUACGUAGAUCUUCACACAAAACGGGCAAAGCUUUGCUGUAUGGGUUACUUGAUCAACCAUUUGAAGAUGGACAAAAAAAGACUUUUUCUUUCUUUGGCGAGGAAGAUUGGCCCUGAGCUAAUAUCUGUUGCCAAUCUUCCUCUAUUUUACCCGGGACACCGCCACAGCGUGGCUUGACGAGUGGGGUAGGUCUGCCCCCAGAAUCCGAACCUAGGAACCCUGGGUCGGAGAAGUGGAGUGGGCAAACUUAACCACUACGCCACCAGGCUGACUCCGCAAAAGACUUUUUAAGCUGCCUGAACAUAAGUACUGAUGUUUUGGAGCUCGGGCAAGCCAUAGAACCUCUCUGAUCUCAGCUUUCUCACCUGUAAAAUGUGGGUUGUCAUAACACCGCCCUCAUGGGGUUGUUUUAAGAUUGGAUAAGAAGAGGACAAGGAGACACUCCGAAAAUUGCAAAUCACUCUAUCAAUGUUGUGGAUGAAUAUAUCUCUUUAGAAAAGAUGCUGCCCGGAAGAGAAACCGUCUAGUUAAUUUUAAUAAGCAAGCUGGCUUUGGGGGGUUAGCUCACAAGUGUGACGAUUGUGGAACAAUCCAUGCAUGCUGAGUGUGGAGGGCGCGCUCCGCCCCUCCUCUGGAGUCUGGAACCCGGACCUCGGCGGCCAUCCUGGUGGAAGCCCACGCAGUGGCCCACGUGCAGUCUGCUCGGCAUAACACGCCGAAUGGCUGCUUCACUGGGAGGAGGCCAUUGUGAAAUCGGUGGUUUCCUGGAGCUCGUCAUCGCCAUAAAUAAAGAAUGUGAAAAUUGAGAAGUUAAUUUUCCACUUCUAUCUUUGGGGCAAAGCAGGCUAUUUAUCAUCUCAUCAAACCAGGGUGGUAACGCUCUGUGUAGAGUCCGGAGCCGGCCUAGGCGGGGUCUACACGGCUUGUGAGCGGCGCAGAAUGGUUUUUGCUGCUGGGGUCUCCCACUCCACGUGGAGGUCCUGGAAUAAGGGUUAGAGUAGUAGGUCCUAACACCGGUUGGCCUGAGGGCCUGGGUUACACCUGACCUGCACGAUAUUUUUAUGUUUUUAAAAUUUGAUCCAGUAUUUAAAAAUUGGGAACUUUUAUAUGUUAAAUCUGGAUUUCUGGCUUCUUUUAAAAAAUUGGAAGACUCAGCGCCCUUGGUCUUAAUUACCCGCUGGAAGCUACCGAUGGGUGCUGAGGGGCCGUGGCCUCUUCACUGGGGCAGAGGUAGGCAGUUUGCCCUAGUCCCCUCUUUCUCUGUUUUAUCAUCUCCGGGUCUGCCUCGCUCAUUUAUGUCGCCUGCCUGGCACCUUGUCGCAUAUGAGUUUGCAAGCUCUGAAUUAGCCUGUGAAAAGUCUGGGAAUUAUGCAUAGUUAAAAAUUUUUUUCUUUUAAGGCCAGUGUGAUGACUGCAAAGCCCACACUCUGAGAGAAUGUGUGGUUAUAACCAUAGACAA